rnacentral:rRNA from 1 species
GACGAACGCUGGCGGCGUGCUUAACACAUGCAAGUCGAGCGGUAAGGCCCUUUCGGGGGUACACGAGCGGCGAACGGGUGAGUAACACGUGGGUGACCUGCCCUCAGCUCUGGGAUAAGCCUGGGAAACCGGGUCUAAUACCGGAUAUGACUCCAUGACGCAUGUUGUGGGGUGAAAGCCUUGUGCGGCUGAGGAUGGGCCCGCGGCCUAUCAGCUUGUUGGUGGGGUGAGGCCUACCAAGGCGACGACGGGUAGCCGGCCUGAGAGGGCGACCGGCCACACUGGGACUGAGACACGGCCCAGACUCCUACGGGAGCAGCAGUGGGGAAUCUUGCGCAAUGGGCGAAAGCCUGACGCAGCGACGCCGCGUGAGGGAUGACGGCCU